CAAGAGAGAGCCGAGGCAGGUGGAAAGCCAAGCCAGGUUCUUAGAAUGCAGAACCAGAGGGACAAGAGGAAAUAGUAAUUCCAGGAGAAAAGGAUCCAUAACCAGCGGGUCUGGACUUGGAAAGGAAGAGGGACCUGGGCCAGUGUUUGGGGACUGCCAGUCCACUCUAGAUUCUCCCCAAACCCAGAGGCUUCCCAUCCUGGAACAGUGCUAAUAAAUCUGUUCUGUGGGAACGAAGAAGGAUGGAGGAGAACAGUGUGGGAGAAGAAUCAGAAAGUGAUUGAACAGCACAACCAGGAGUACACCCAACGAAAACACAGCUUUGAGACGGCAGUGAAUGCCUUUGGUGACCUGACCAAUGAAGAAUUCAGGCCCAUAAUGAUUGGCCUUCAGAUACAGAAGCGUGAGGAGGCGAAUGUGUGCCAAGCCCCUCUCUCUGCUGAGACCCCCUCAUCUGCUGAGACCUCCUCAUCUGUCGACUGAAGAGAGAAAGGCUCCGUAAACCCGUGAAAGAUCAGGCCGUUCCCCGCACGUGUGUACAGACCAAUCUCUCCGAGUGCCCACUCCAGGACUCCAGGAUUCCUCCUGUGUUUGGGUCAGGCAAGAACAAUGGAAGGGUCUCCCCUCUUUGAGUGAGAACAAACGUGAAAACCUUCUGGGCUCUUCCCAUCUCCCUGUACGUUUCCCAAUUUUAGUCACAACGCCCCCCAAAUAAGUUGGGUGUGUCCAUACGGGGGUUCAGGUUCAUGGCUUUAUGGACUUCAGUGUGGUUUGUCUGCUCUGUGGGUACCGCGGGGU